rnacentral:rRNA from 1 species
UACGGGGGGGGCAAGCGUUGUUCGGAAUUACUGGGCGUAAAGGGCUCGUAGGUGGCCAACUAAGUCAGACGUGAAAUCCCUCGGCUUAACCGGGGAACUGCGUCUGAUACUGGAUGGCUAGAGUUUGGGAGAGGGAUGCGGAAUUCCAGGUGUAGCGGUGAAAUGCGUAGAUAUCGAGAGGAACACCGGUGGCGAAGGCGGCCUUCUGGACAGUGACUGACGCUGAGACGCGAAAGCGUGGGGAGCAAACAGG